rnacentral:rRNA from 1 species
CCUACGGGACGCAGCAGUAGGGAAUCUUCCACAAUGGGCGAAAGCCUGAUGGAGCAACGCCGCGUGGGUGAAGAAGGUCUUCGGAUCGUAAAACCCUUUUGUUAGAGAAGAAAGUGUGUGAGAGUAACUAUUCACGUUUCGACGAUAUCUAACCAGAAACCCACGGCUCACUACGUGCCAUCAGCCUCGGUAAUACGUAGGUGGCAAGCGUUAUCCGGAUUUAUUUGGCGUAAAGGGAAUGCAGACGGGAUUUUAAGUCUGAUGUGAAAGCCUUCGGCUUAACCGGAGUAGUGCAUUGGAAACUGGGAGACUUGAGUGAAGAAGAGGAGAGUGGAAUGCCAGGUGUAGCGGUGAAAUGCGUAGAUAUAUGGAAGAACACCAGUGGCGAAAGCGGCUUUCUGGUCUGUAACUGACGCGGAGGUUCGAAAGCGUGGGUAGCAAACAGGAUUAGAGACCCCGGUAGUC